AUUGAACGCUGGCGGCAGGCCUAACACAUGCAAGUCGAGCGGUAGCACAGAGAGCUUGCUCUCGGGUGACGAGCGGCGGACGGGUGAGUAAUGUCUGGGAAACUGCCUGAUGGAGGGGGAUAACUACUGGAAACGGUAGCUAAUACCGCAUAAUGUCGCAAGACCAAAGUGGGGGACCUUCGGGCCUCAUGCCAUCAGAUGUGCCCAGAUGGGAUUAGCUAGUAGGUGGGGUAAUGGCUCACCUAGGCGACGAUCCCUAGCUGGUCUGAGAGGAUGACCAGCCACACUGGAACUGAGACACGGUCCAGACUCCUACGGGAGGCAGCAGUGGGGAAUAUUGCACAAUGGGCGCAAGCCUGAUGCAGCCAUGCCGCGUGUGUGAAGAAGGCCUUCGGGUUGUAAAGCACUUUCAGCGGGGAGGAAGGCGAUAAGGUUAAUAACCUUGUCGAUUGACGUUACCCGCAGAAGAAGCACCGGCUAACUCCGUGCCAGCAGCCGCGGUGAUACGGAGGGUGCAAGCGUUAAUCGGAAUUACUGGGCGUAAAGCGCACGCAGGCGGUCUGUCAAGUCGGAUGUGAAAUCCCCGGGCUCAACCUGGGAACUGCAUUCGAAACUGGCAGGCUAGAGUCUUGUAGAGGGGGGUAGAAUUCCAGGUGUAGCGGUGAAAUGCGUAGAGAUCUGGAGGAAUACCGGUGGCGAAGGCGGCCCCCUGGACAAAGACUGACGCUCAGGUGCGAAAGCGUGGGGAGCAAACAGGAUUAGAUACCCUGGUAGUCCACGCCGUAAACGAUGUCGAUUUGGAGGUUGUGCCCUUGAGGCGUGGCUUCCGGAGCUAACGCGUUAAAUCGACCGCCUGGGGAGUACGGCCGCAAGGUUAAAACUCAAAUGAAUUGACGGGGGCCCGCACAAGCGGUGGAGCAUGUGGUUUAAUUCGAUGCAACGCGAAGAACCUUACCUGGUCUUGACAUCCACAGAACUUUCCAGAGAUGGAUUGGUGCCUUCGGGAACUGUGAGACAGGUGCUGCAUGGCUGUCGUCAGCUCGUGUUGUGAAAUGUUGGGUUAAGUCCCGCAACGAGCGCAACCCUUAUCCUUUGUUGCCAGCGGUUCGGCCGGGAACUCAAAGGAGACUGCCAGUGAUAAACUGGAGGAAGGUGGGGAUGACGUCAAGUCAUCAUGGCCCUUACGACCAGGGCUACACACGUGCUACAAUGGCAUAUACAAAGAGAAGCGACCUCGCGAGAGCAAGCGGACCUCAUAAAGUAUGUCGUAGUCCGGAUUGGAGUCUGCAACUCGACUCCAUGAAGUCGGAAUCGCUAGUAAUCGUAGAUCAGAAUGCUACGGUGAAUACGUUCCCGGGCCUUGUACACACCGCCCGUCACACCAUGGGAGUGGGUUGCAAAAGAAGUAGGUAGCUUAACCUUCGGGAGGGCGCUUACCACUUUGUGAUUCAUGACUGGGGUGA
rnacentral:rRNA from 1 species